CCUACGGGAGGCAGCAGUGAGGAAUAUUGGACAAUGGGCGCAAGCCUGAUCCAGCCAUGCCGCGUGCAGGAAGACGGUCCUAUGGAUUGUAAACUGCUUUUAUACAGGAAGAAACACCUCUACGUGUAGAGACUUGACGGUACUGUAUGAAUAAGCAUCGGCUAACUCCGUGCCAGCAGCCGCGGUAAUACGGAGGAUGCAAGCGUUAUCCGGAAUCAUUGGGUUUAAAGGGUCCGUAGGCGGUUUAAUAAGUCAGUGGUGAAAGCCCAUCGCUCAACGAUGGAACGGCCAUUGAUACUGUUAAACUUGAAUUAUUAGGAAGUAACUAGAAUAUGUAGUGUAGCGGUGAAAUGCUUAGAGAUUACAUGGAAUACCAAUUGCGAAGGCAGGUUACUACUAAUAUAUUGACGCUGAUGGACGAAAGCGUGGGGANCGAACAGGAUUAGAUACCCUGGUAGUCCACGCCGUAAACGAUGGAUACUAGCUGUUCGGAGNAUAUGNGUGNGAGAGAAGAGAGUAAGUAAGUACCACCGUAACGGGUAGGUACGGUUACGUUCGUAAGAAAGUUAGUAAACGUUAAAAGUUAAGUUAAGUUAGGUUACGGACGAGAGAGACGACGACGGACGACGACGGAGGAGGAGG
rnacentral:rRNA from 1 species